rnacentral:misc_RNA from 1 species
GCGAAUUUGUAGCCUCCCAAGGCUCACAUUCUCUAUCCUUUACACACCUGUGCACCCUUCUGAAGCGGAGAGUUAUUAGGUAUAUUAGCCGAGCGCCUCCCUUCGGUUAUUGUAUCAACCUCAAACUACGUUUACUAGAAUGUAUACCGUCUUGUUGUGACGACAAGUACAAUCCAAUA